CCUACGGGUUGCAGCAGUGGGGAAUAUUGCACAAUGGGCGCAAGCCUGAUGCAGCCAUGCCGCGUGUGUGAAGAAGGCCUUCGGGUUGUAAAGCACUUUCAGCGGGGAGGAAGGCGGUGAGGUUAAUAACCUCACCGAUUGGCGUUACCCGCAGAAGAAGCACCGGCUAACUCCGUGCCAGCAGCCGCGGUAAUACGGAGGGUGCAAGCGUUAAUCGGAAUUACUGGGCGUAAAGCGCACGCAGGCGGUCUGUCAAGUCGGAUGUGAAAUCCCCGGGCUCAACCUGGGAACUGCACUCGAAACUGGCAGGCUAGAGUCUUGUAGAGGGGGGUAGAAUUCCAGGUGUAGCGGUGAAAUGCGUAGGGAUCUGGAGGAAUACCGGUGGCGAAGGCGGCCCCCUGGACAAAGACUGACGCUCAGGUGCGAAAGCGUGGGGAGCAAACAGGAUUAGAUACCCCCGUAGU
rnacentral:rRNA from 1 species